rnacentral:rRNA from 1 species
CCUGGCUCAGGAUGAACGCUGGCGGCGUGCCUAAUACAUGCAAGUCGAACGCUUCACUUCGGUGAAGAGUGGCGAACGGGUGAGUAAUACAUAAGUAACCUGGCAUCUACAGGGGGAUAACUGAUGGAAACGUCAGCUAAGACCGCAUAGGUGUAGAGAUCGCAUGAACUCUAUAUGAAAAGUGCUACGGGACUGGUAGAUGAUGGACUUAUGGCGCAUUAGCUUGUUGGUAGGGUAACGGCCUACCAAGGCGACGAUGCGUAGCCGACCUGAGAGGGUGACCGGCCACACUGGGACUGAGACACGGCCCAGACUCCUACGGGAGGCAGCAGUAGGGAAUUUUCGGCAAUGGGGGAAACCCUGACCGAGCAACGCCGCGUGAAGGAAGAAGUAAUUCGUUAUGUAAACUUCUGUCAUAGAGGAAGAACGGUGGAUAUAGGGAAUGAUAUCCAAGUGACGGUACUCUAUAAGAAAGCCACGGCUAACUACGUGCCAGCAGCCGCGGUAAUACGUAGGUGGCGAGCGUUAUCCGGAAUUAUUGGGCGUAAAGAGGGAGCAGGCGGCACUAAGGGUCUGUGGUGAAAGAUCGAAGCUUAACUUCGGUAAGCCAUGGAAACCGUAGAGCUAGAGUGUGUGAGAGGAUCGUGGAAUUCCAUGUGUAGCGGUGAAAUGCGUAGAUAUAUGGAGGAACACCAGUGGCGAAGGCGACGAUCUGGCGCAUAACUGACGCUCAGUCCCGAAAGCGUGGGGAGCAAAUAGGGUUAGAUACCGUAGUAGUCCACGCCGUAAACGAUGAGUACUAAGUGAUGGGGGUCAAACCUCAGUGCUGCAGUUAACGCAAUAAGUACUCCGCCUGAGUAGUACGUUCGCAUGAAUGAAACUCAAAGGAAUUGACGGGGGCCCGCACAAGCGGUGGAGCAUGUGGUUUAAUUCGAAGCAACGCGAAGAACCUUUCCAGGUCCUGACAUCGAUCUAAAGGCUCCAGAGAUGGAGAGAUAGCUAUAGAGAAGACAGGUGGUGCAUGGUUGUCGUCAGCUCGUGUCGCGAGAUCUUGGGUUAAGUCCCGCAACGAGCGCAACCCCUGUUUCCAGUUGCCAGCAUUAAGUUGGGGACUCUGGCGAGACUGCCGGUGACAAGCCGGAGGAAGGCGGGGAUGACGUCAAAUCAUCAUGCCCCUUAUGACAUGGGCUACACACGUGCUACAAUGGACAGAGCAGAGGGAAGCGAAGCCGCGAGGUGGAGCGAAACCCAUAAAACUGUUCUCAGUUCGGACUGCAGUCUGCAACUCGACUGCACGAAGAUGGAAUCGCUAGUAAUCGCGAAUCAGCAUGUCGCGGUGAAUACGUUCUCGGGCCUUGUACACAC